rnacentral:rRNA from 1 species
UACGUAGGGUGCGAGCGUUAAUCGGAAUUACUGGGCGUAAAGCGUGCGCAGGCGGUUUGUUAAGACAGGCGUGAAAUCCCCGGGCUUAACCUGGGAACGGCGCUUGUGACUGGGCAGGCUAGAGUACGGGCAGAGGGGGGUGGAAUUCCGACGUGUAGGCAGUAGAAAUGCGUAGAGAUGUGGAGGAACACCGAUGGCGAAGGCAGCCCCCCUGGGCCGAUACUGACGCUCAUGCACGAAAGCGUGGGGAGCAAACAGG